rnacentral:miRNA from 1 species
AUCCCCAGGGAGCCGUAUUAGAUUCUGAUUCCGCAGGGCUAGGAAGGGGCCCUGAGAUUCUGCAUUUCUCACAAGCUCUCAGGUGAUGC